rnacentral:rRNA from 1 species
UAAGGAAUAUUGGUCAAUGGAGGAAACUCUGAACCAGCCAUCCCGCGUGAAGGAUGAAGGGGCUCUGCCUUGUAAACUUCUUUUGAAUGGGACGAAAAAAGGGGAUUUAUCCUCGACUGACGGUACCAUUAGAAUAAGCACCGGCUAACUCCGUGCCAGCAGCCGCGGUAAUACGGAGGGUGCAAGCGUUAUCCGGAAUCACUGGGUUUAAAGGGUGCGUAGGCGGCUAAAUAAGUCAGUGGUGAAAGGCCGUGGCUUAACCAUGGGAUUGCCAUUGAUACUGUAUAGCUUGAAUGAGGAUGAGGUUGGCGGAAUGUGGCAUGUAGCGGUGAAAUGCUUAGAUAUGCCAUGGAACAUCGAUUGCGAAGGCAGCUGACUGGACCUGAAUUGACGCUGAGGCACGAAAGCGUGGGUAGCGAACAGG